GCAGGCGGUUUCUUAAGUCUGAUGUGAAAGCCCCCGGCUCAACCGGGGAGGGUCAUUGGAAACUGGGGAACUUGAGUGCAGAAGAGGAGAGUGGAAUUCCACGUGUAGCGGUGAAAUGCGUAGAGAGGUGGAGGAACACCAGUGGCGAAGGCGACUCUCUGGUCUGUAACUGACGCUGAGGAGCGAAAGCGUGGGGAGCGAACAGGAUUAGAUACCCUGGUAGUCCACGCCGUAAACGAUGAGUGCUAAGUGUUAGGGGGUUUCCGCCCCUUAGUGCUGCAGCUAACGCAUUAAGCACUCCGCCUGGGGAGUAC
rnacentral:rRNA from 1 species